AGGUAAGCUACUAAGAGCGAAUGGUGGAUGCCUUGACUGGUAGAGGCGAUGAAGGACGUACUAGACUGCGAUAAGCUAGGUGGAGCUGUCAAGAAGCUUUGAUGCCUAGAUUUCCGAAUGGGGCAACCCAGUAUAUAGAGAUAUAUACUACCAUAAUGGAGCGAACGAGGGGAAUUGAAACAUCUUAGUACCCUCAGGAAAAGAAAUCAAACGAGAUUGCGUCAGUAGCGGCGAGCGAAAGCGUAAGAGGGCAAACCCAGUGCUUGCACUGGGGGUUGUAGGACUGCAAUGUGCAAGAGGAAAGGUUAGCAGAACACUCUGGAAAGUGUAGCCAUAGAGGGUGAUAGUCCCGUAUGCAAAAACCUAACCUUAGCUAGCAGUAUCCUGAGUAGGGCGGGACACGAGAAAUCCUGUCUGAAGCUGGGUAGACCACUAUCCAACCCUAAAUACUCCUACCAGAUCGAUAGCGAACAAGUACCGUGAGGGAAAGGUGAAAAGAACGGCGGUGAGCCGAGUGAAAUAGAACCUGAAACCAUUUGCUUACAAUCAUUCAGAGCACUAUGUAGCAAUACAGUGUGAUGGACUGCCUUUUGCAUAAUGAGCCUGCGAGUUGUGGUGUCUGGCAAGGUUAAGCUAACGCGAAGCCGUAGCGAAAGCGAGUCUGAAUAGGGCGCUAAGUCAGAUGCUGCAGACCCGAAACGAAGUGAUCUAUCCAUGAGCAGGUUGAAGCUAGUGUAAGAACUAGUGGAGGACCGAACCCGCUAGCGUUGAAAAGCUAUGGGAUGACUUGUGGAUAGGGGUGAAAGGCCAAUCAAACUUCGUGAUAGCUGGUUCUCUCCGAAAUAUAUUUAGGUAUAGCGUUGUGUCGUAACUAAAGGGGGUAGAGCACUGAAUGGGCUAGGGCAUACACCAAUGUACCAAACCCUAUCAAACUCCGAAUACCUUUAGUGUAAUCACAGCAGUCAGGCGGCGAGUGAUAAAAUCCGUCGUCAAGAGGGAAACAACCCAGACUAACAGCUAAGGUCCCCAAAUCUUACUUAAGUGGAAAACGAUGUGAAGUUACUUAAACAACCAGGAGGUUGGCUUAGAAGCAGCCAUCCUUUAAAGAAAGCGUAAUAGCUCACUGGUCUAGUGAUUUUGCGCGGAAAAUAUAACGGGGCUA
rnacentral:rRNA from 1 species